UGCAGUCGAACGGCAGCACAGGAGAGCUUGCUCUCUGGGUGGCGAGUGGCGGACGGGUGAGGAAUACAUCGGAAUCUACUCUGUCGUGGGGGAUAACGUAGGGAAACUUACGCUAAUACCGCAUACGACCUACGGGUGAAAGCAGGGGACCUUCGGGCCUUGCGCGAUUGAAUGAGCCGAUGUCGGAUUAGCUAGUUGGCGGGGUAAAGGCCCACCAAGGCGACGAUCCGUAGCUGGUCUGAGAGGAUGAUCAGCCACACUGGAACUGAGACACGGUCCAGACUCCUACGGGAGGCAGCAGUGGGGAAUAUUGGACAAUGGGCGCAAGCCUGAUCCAGCCAUACCGCGUGGGUGAAGAAGGCCUUCGGGUUGUAAAGCCCUUUUGUUGGGAAAGAAAUCCAGCUGGCUAAUACCCGGUUGGGAUGACGGUACCCAAAGAAUAAGCACCGGCUAACUUCGUGCCAGCA
rnacentral:rRNA from 1 species